rnacentral:lncRNA from 1 species
GCGGGGGCCGGGCGCUGCUGCGAGCAAAGGAGCACCAGCUGCAGCCCGCAAGUUGCUAAAUUAGCCGGGCUGUUGUUUUGCUUUUAAUUUUUGUGCGAAUUCAAGAAUAGGUCGCGGAUGUCUUGGCAGCGCGUGAAUGAGACCCUUUCCGAAAGAAUUCACCUUGCUGAAGGGCCGCUGUCGGGCGCCCAGAUCCCCAGUGCGAAGCCUGCGCUCGCCCUCCCGCGGCUGGUGCCCUGGCCUCCCUUCCCGCGGGCCUGGCCCCCCAACCCCGCGCCCCUCCCCAGGGGCCCACCGGCUCCUCUGCCUCCCCAGACCGCGGGCCUGCGCCCUUGCAGCCGGGAAGAGUGAGCCAGGCCCGGCGUGGCCUCUGCACCCCCUCGCAGUCCGGGAGCCCUCGCCCAGCCCAGUGGCCAUGCAGAAGGUUCUGGAAGUGACAGGCCUGCUCCUGGAGGAGCUCUACUCUACGCUGAAAAUGGCAAGGGACCAUGACUCUCAUCUAGUUCACCCCGUGAAGCUCCAGUGGCCACCCACCAGUGACUGUAGUCCCACCUUGAGAAUGAGUGCCAAGAACCUGUGCCCUUGUAGGGUCUGAUGACAUUGGCAAGAUUUUGUUCUUCCCCUUCUUCCCGGUUGGGCCCUCACCUGGAUGCAGAUGACUUCUCAAGGUGUGUCUCUAAGACCUGUCUUCUCGCCUGAAAUACGUUGCUACCUGCCUGCUGGAUCCAGCCUGCUACAGAUUCCCUGCUACAUCCUCAAACUCUGCACAGAACAGAACAUGGCAUUUUUCUUUGGAGUAACUGCUCCUGAGACAGGCAGGUGGUGGUGGUUAUUCUCUGAAGGUUUUAGGCUGGAACCAGGUAGGAGGCAGGGUGCCACCUGCUUUUAUCUUUUUCGAUAACUGAUACAAAGUCUACUCUUGUCAUGUUCUCUCCCAAUGAGACACAUUCUUUUGUGACAAAUACAACCAUACCAUUUUAUUUUUUGUCUCUAGUCAUUGGUAAGUGUUUCUAAUGUGCUGGGUCAAGAAUCCCCAGCCAAUAGCUUCCUUCUCAGAUGUGGCUGGUGUGGGCUGAGUUCCCCAUUGGUUGGGUUUGCUUGUGGCCAAUUGUCUGAAUACGUCAGUACUGCUAGUUUAGGGGGGUCAUUUCCAAUAUUCACCAAAUGCUUCCAGCUCUCUGCUAGAGAAUUGCAUUUCUCAGCCCCCUGGUGGUUGGGUGGGGCCAUGUGUGUGACUCAAAGCUCAAGAGUCCUUCGGGGGAAGUGCUGUGCCCUGGCUGGGGCAUUUAAUUGUGAGUGCAAGACCCUUCUGAGAUCCGUCCUUUUGCAUGGUGACUGGAAAUAUUUGCAAGGACAGCUGCUUCCCCAACCUGGGCCCUUCAAUGAGGAGAUGUGAACAGAGGCUCCAGCCGGCUCAUGAUAGACAUGUAGCUCAAGUGAGAAAUAA